rnacentral:lncRNA from 1 species
GGGGGAAGCAUUUCAGAUACGGUACCCAAUCUUCUUCAGGAAGCUACCUCGGCAGAAACUUCGAGCACAAGCUAUCCAGUCUUCCUUGACACGAUACUCUUGAUGACUUACAACACAAGCUAAGUAACCUUUGUCACGAAGGCAUCGCAUUCUCACUAGUACAAGCUAUUCCACCAACAAUUGACAGCAUAUGACCAUGCAUCUCAAGGAUCCACUCCACAACAGUUGGUCACAAGGCAAAAAGUUAGUUAGGACACAAGCCUGCUUCAGGAAUCAAGCACUCAGCCGCAUAGACCCAAUAUAUAUGAUGGACAGGUUGUCAAGGCCAUAUGAGUUAAUCAUACAAUGAUGCCAGCCCGGUGAGAAUCCAACUAUUGCAUGAGCUAUAUAAGAAGAAGAAGAAUGCCAGUUAUACAUUUCAGUGAGAUGACCAACAACCUAUGGAUAAGCUGUAAGGGACACGGAUGAACCCUUGCCUGUCUUUCUUUGGUGACGACACCACGUCUGUGUUCUGAGCUAUUUUCGUCCGUCCGGGGUGGAUGCCGAUUUUUAUUUCUCUUGUCAGCAAUUGGCCAUGUUCUGAGCUGUUUUUCGGCCGUCUCGGGAAGUUGUUGAAUUUCUUUCCGUAGUAGUGACCCUAUGCUCUGAGUUGUUUCUCGGUCGUCUUAAGGAACUGCUACUUUCUUCUUAUCGACACCAUCUCAUGCUCUGAGAUGCUUUUCAACCGUCUUGAGUCGGGGUUGAGUUACUCCAGUAAUGUCCUAGAUCUAAGUUGUAAAGACCGUUCUGGUGGCUACUGGUUGAUUUGCCAGUUUUAUCCAAGGGUUCAGACGGUCGUUACCCCACAGCUACAACUUGUUAAGUAAUAUGCCUGCUGAAAUAUUGUACCUGGCAGCACCCAUGGUCAUCCAAGGAAUCAAGAACACAUCAGGCCAAGCUCUUUCAACUAAGGAUCCAUGCAAAGAGAACUAUAACGAAGGAGCAAGAUUAGCCAUAUAGGUAUGAUAAUGGUUGCAAGAUCAACAUGGUACAAAUACUCAAAACAGUCUCGUUCGAUACCAAUCACCGAGGGUACACACCCAUGGGGUCAAUUCCAUUUGCAAGGACCCUAUAUCGAGUUAACCCGCUCAGCCCAACCAGAUAUGCUCACAGUCGUUAGAGGGGAAUACUCAGUAGUUAUAUUGCAGCAAUAGUGUUACACGACCUCCUAUUCAUUUAAAGGUGUCGAUAGACGGAACGACCAGAAUGUUGGACAACAACCUCGGAACAUGUGCCCUCACAUAUGGGAAUCAGUUAAAGGAUAACCUGUCAGUCAAGUUAGCAUACAUAAACGGAUGGAAGUCAGAGUAACAUAUGAGGAUCGAGUGAAACAAACCACCUCGAAGCCACGAAGUAAGUCAGAUAACCCAGCAGGAGCAUCAUACCAAGGCAAAAAGGAAACCUGAGUUGGAAACGGUUUCCUCAAGUGGGGAUAUUCAUGCUUGAAUCCUGAGCAACCAAAUCUCGAGGACGAGAUUUCUUUAAGGGGGUAGGUUUGUAACACCCUGGAUUUUGUCCAUUUUUUUAUUUUGGUCUCGAUUGGCUUUUCCG